CUAGAGUUGGUACAACGAGUUGCGAGUCGGUGACGGCGAGCUAAUCUCUUAAAGCCAAUCUCAGUUCGGAUUGUAGGCUGCAACUCGCCUACAUGAAGUCGGAAUCGCUAGUAAUCGCGGAUCAGCACGCCGCGGUGAAUACGUUCCCGGGCCUU
rnacentral:rRNA from 1 species